GGGCGCGGGGCCGCCCACUCGCCUGCGGGUGUGGAGUCUCCGGUUGGCCCGCUCGAGGCCGCGGCUGCUCCUUCCUCUCCCGGCGGCACAGGUAGGGGGGCAGCGGCGUCUCCCCUCCCCUCCCUUCUGUCCCGGAUCCGCGAGAGCGGCCGGGAUUCGGUCGUGGUUCUGUUCCGAGGGUCCCGCCAGCCGUGGGCCGUGCUGAGCCCUUGGAGCCGGGGCCUCUGCAGCCGGCGCGGCCGGGCAUGGCUCGCCUGCCCUCCCGGUAGCUGUGGGCGGAGCGGGGCCGCCUCUGAGCCUGAGCCCGGCGGAGUUCUGGAGCCGCGGUGCCCGUGCCGGGUGUCUCGCUGCUCGGUGCCUGUCUGCCCUCCGCCGGGGGACCGCUCCCGUCCUCUCUUUCCCUGCAGGGAGGCGGCCGGUGGGAGCAGCGCCCGUGCCGAUGCUGCUGCCGGCCUGGGAACUGUGCCUCUACGGGCUCCUGACCGUGGGCUCCCACCUCUACGCUUUCUACGAAGCGCACCAAGUGUCUCGAAAGUAUGAAGCUGCAAUGGACAGAAGAUUUGGGCUUGACCCAGGAACUCUCUUUCGGGGGCUAAAAAAGGACCCCAUGGACUUUGAGUGGAGCUACUGGAUUGAAUGGGGAAGGGAACGUAUACUGUGGCUUCUGGCUGGUCACCUGCUGGUAUCACAAAUGUCCAGGCUCUUGGUGGAGAAGUAUAAACCAUGGUGCUUGAUGGUUUAUGGAAUGGCUGCCUGCUGGUUAUUAUUGGGAAUCAAGGGUUUUGCCAUCAUUUUGUUACAUGCAGCUAUUUCCUUUGCUGUGGCGCAGUUUCGGCUGUCACUCCUGACAUGGUUGUGCUCCCUUAUCCUUCUGUCCACUUUGCGCAUACCAGCCGUGGAACAAACCAAGAGAAAGUGGUAUGACACUGAAAAUGAGUAUUACCUGCUGCUCUUCACUGUGUCUGUCCGAUGCCUCUUCUGCACUAGCUUCAGCCUGGAGUACUGCUGGCAUGCACCUACCCAGAAGUCAUCCCACUCAUUCCCCUGGAUGCUGGCAUAUGUGUUUUAUUAUCCUACAUUCCACAAUGGACCCCUUGUGAAUUUUGAUGAGUUCAGUAAGCAGAUGAGGAUGCAAGAAGCUUUCAGUGUGAAGACCAAUCUCAGCAUCUUAAUUGUGGGCAUAAUUCGUAUUUUCUUUUGGUGGUGCCUGGCUGAGCUGAUGAUUCACCUCAUGUAUAUCCAUGCUCUCUACAGUAGUGCUCUGCCUUUGGAAUCUGCAUCUUACUGGGCCUUGGGUGGCCUGGCUUUAGCUCAAGUACUUUUCUUUUAUGUGAAAUAUCUGGUUCUGUAUGGUGUUCCUGGCCUCCUCCUUCAAAUGGAUGGACUCAAACCUCCAGCUCUACCUUGCUGUGUGAGCCUGAUGCACAGUUUCACCAAAAUGUGGAGAAGUUUUGACGUUGGGCUGCAUCGCUUUCUGGUCAGGUACAUUUAUGUUCCGAUGGGAGGAUCUCAGUCCAGUCUGCUUGGAACACUAUUAUCUACAGCCCUCACUUUUGCCUUCAUAAGCUACUGGCAUGGAGGACAGAGUUAUUUGUGGUACUGGGGUGCACUUAAUUGGCUUGGAGUAGUUGUGGAAAAUGUCACCAAGAGGAUACUUUCAAUUUCACUUAUUCAAGAUUUAAUUGAACGUUUCUUCUCGCCAAGAUUUCGUCGUCGACUUCAUGCUGUCCUAGCAUCUGUUAGCACUUCAAUGUUGAUUUUAUCAAAUCUAAUAUUUCUUGGAGGAAAUCAAGUUGGAAAAAUUUACUGGAACAGGAUCUUUAUAGAAGGCUGGCCAUGGGCGACACUGACUGUUCUUGGGUUCCUGUACUGCUAUUCUCAUGUUGGAAUUGAAUGGGAGCAGAAGUACACUGUACAUUAGGAAUGAUGCAAACAAUUAAGACAGGUUGAUGUUUUUCCUACACUGGAUAUUCUAUCUGCACAAGGGCCACUUCAGUGACCUCUCCACUGCCUUUCCCCAGCUCUUGGCAUCCUUUCUCAAGGCUACCUUUGGAUCCAGCUCUGCUGACCCACACUUCACACACCACUGCUGGUGCCAUCUGCCCAACUUUCACUCAGGUUAUUCUUCUCAAAGUUCCUCAAUUUGAUCAAGUUCUGCCAAACAUCACUUGCUAAAAAUGAGACCUCCAAAGGGUCUGAAGACAUCCUGCUUGUUUUAAACAGUUAUGCCAAUAACUGCUGACACCAUGAACUGCAGGUUGGGUAUGAGGCCUGACAUAGGUGUAAGGCUUUAAAAAGUGUGAUGGCCAUUCAAAAUAAAAUAACAUGCCACUUUUGGAGUACUUGCGGGUUCUUGCUGGUUGAGGAAAUGUCUAUUUUAAGAAACAUUACAUUUUCAUACUAAUCAGGUUUCCACACUUAAUCUUUAAAACUUUGAGACUGCUGGCAGUAACCCAAGGGCACUCUCUGACAGUGGCAGAGACAACUGAGGCAGGGUAAAGUAUCUCACAGCUUCUUCCAGCAGGCAAAUCAUGACUCAGAGGGCUACAGCCCUUUAGAACCCCCAGCCAAAGGAGCUUCUUGGGCAGUCAGUCCCAUUUGCCCUUGUGCCAGUGUUGUGCUUCCCUUUCCUGCUCCCUCCCUAAUGUCUGCCCCCUCUGUGAGUGUAACCUAGAAACCCACCCUCUCACACCUCAUUUUCCAAGGUUUUCCUCGGAUGCUUAUGUGAGACACAGACAGGUUUCCUCCAUAAUGGAUUUUCCUGGGUAAAGGAAAUGCAGCAAAUUCAAGCUACAAAGAUGGGUAUCCAGGGCUGUACUUCAGCUACAUUAUAUGCUGCUUCCAUUUGCUGCUGUGACCUUACACUCUUCUCCCUGGUUUAGACUGGGGUCAGAGCAACCAGCCUGCAGCCUUUCAGCACACCUGGCCAUAGCUGCUCUAUUUGCUGCUCACAAAUGAGAGGCACCCACCCCGUUUUACAGAGCUAUUUAUGAUUUGUGUUGGCAGAAUUGUAAUUUCAUGCAGUAUUUCAUGCACACUUCCUGUACACUUUCCUAAAGGAUGCUUCUUCCAAUUUAGCUUUCAGCUGAACAGCUUUACAUUUUUCUCUGUUCACUUCCACUAUCCAGGUUGUAUGUGCAGUGUUAUCAUUCUAAAUGAAAAAAAAAAUAAAUACUUCAUGUUGACUUGGGGCACUAUAUGGAUUAUCUUAGCUUUCUUCCCAGUUCUCAUGCUGAGAGUGUUCAACACCUUUUCCUGUUAUCACUGGUUCUUCUAAAGUACCUUCUGCUUAACUGUAAAACUCACCAAAAAAGAUUGCUGGAGAGCUUUGAAAGCAAUCUAUUUUUCCUCUCUAAGCCCUGCUUGCUUUUCUUGUUGAGCUGUCUUUUUGGUCCCAUUGCUGAGCACACAGUAACUCCCAGGCUUAGUAGUGCACUCCCUGUGCUACUGCUGCUUAGCAUUUCCCCCAAGUGGCAGCCCCUGAUGAAGAAGAGGCCAUAAUCUUCCUUUUAUAGAAAAUCCACACGUGUAAGAUACUCCAGCACAGUUUCGUUGUGCCCCCAGUUUUGUAAGCUGGGAGACUGGGAAUGUGGAAGGAAAUUCCAGUGCAAAAGCACAAAACCCUCAGAUUUGCACAUAGAAACUGCAGUGACAUUUACAGGGGGCCUGUGUCCCCCUCCCCAGGCAGGAAUUAAUAGCAAAGCUCAUACUUCACCCUCAUCCACCUGAACAGAAAUAUCUUCAAGAAAAUCUCUACAAGGAAGCAAAUCUUAAAAAGAACCAAAACCUCUGCAAGGUUUCUCAGACACUUCUGCCUCCGUAAAUACUUAAAGUGGAGCUGCAGGGAGAAAGCUUCGGAAUUGGUGAUGAUGGAUGGAGCUGCCAAACUUAAGCUUGUUUUAAACCUACACCUGUGCCAUGGGGCAGCUUAAAUUUGAAUUUGGCUGUACUAUGUAAGGACUUGAACUUAAUUAGGAAAGGGGAAGCAGGAAUGGAAAAGGAAAGGGAAAAAAAAGCAAAAAGACAAGGCUUGAGCACAUGUAUUUUACAGAUACAGCUGUGCAUGAGCAUCUCGGUAGCUACUUCUGACAGGCUUCAGGAGUUCACUUUCCCUAAUGCCUUUUUUGGAUUUCUCACAGGUUUUUACUCGUCCUGUCUUUCAAGAACAGGACAUGUUAGUUCCCCCAGCUGCCACAUACCAACACAGAAGUUGUGGUGAGUUAGAAUGAAAGAAGCACAGACUCAAUCUUCUAGGUGAAAAUACUUGUAUUGGCUGAGAUUCUUUAUAUGUGUGUUGCAAUUAAACCCCUGACACCUCUGGCAGCAAUAGAUACCAUAGCAACACGGCAUUCUUCCCAGCAUUUUCUGGUUGGCUACACAUCCUUACUAACCAGCCUAACUCCUGGAGCAGAAGGCAAGCACAGAGAACAGCUAAUCAGCCAAGGUCUUCUCAGCCUCUGUGUUGGGGGCAGCACCUGCUUCCCACUGGGUGAGGGGCUCAGUGCUCUCCCCGAGCUUUGUUGGGGUCUCCUGAGCAUUGCCCUGCACCAGGCACACACACUGCUGGGACAUGCUGAACAGGAAUGGUUUUGAUUUUUACUUAGUGCUCUGGGAGCAAAUAAAACCCAUUGCUAUUGCACACAUGUGUGAGGGGGAGGGAUUUGCUGCAGUUCAGUCCCACUGAACUCUCACAGGCUCUCACAGCACAGAAGAGCUGGUUUGUGCUGGUUGUCUUUACUCCACUGCAAAAAAGCACUAGAGACAGAGUGCUUCUGACUUUAACACGGCUUUAAAAUGCACCACAGAGCAACUAAAGAACCUCCAUUACCAAAUGCAGAACUUAAAACUGCAUAGGCAGCACUCACCUCCCCACAAACUGAUGCACUGCUGGCCGCUGCUGCUGCACACCCAGAUGGGUAAAGACCCCGUGUGCCUGGCAGGUGUCCCCAGCAGCUGCACACUAAUUCAUAACCAAACAGAAUGACAAUACCUGCUCCAGCUAUUUCUGAGAAAAAUCAGUGCUUUAAAAACCUUCUGUCCCUGCUGUGAAUGUGCUCCCAGGUGGAGGGAAUGAGGAGCAGGGGCUGGUGCAGGUGGGCCUAAGGCUGCUCACAGCUGCUGAGGCUGCUGUUGCCCAGCUGAGCACAGGGCAGCGUGCCUUUGAGCCUUUGCAAUCUGGCAAAUUGGGCAAAUCAAAUCUGGGCAAAAAGUGCUGCAGCUAAUUACCUUUGGUUUGAAAUGCUGUGGGGCUGCUGAGGGGAGAGAAACUGAUGGGGAGCAUUGUGUAGCCCCUGCUACACCUCCUGCACUAAAGCUUGGAGCACUGCCAGGGAGGCUCCAAAGAAUGCAACAGCAAAGAAUAUAGUGAAGAAUUCACAAAAUGAGCACAAAAGCCUCUAGAGACCCCCAAAAAAACCACCAAAAAAACCCAAGUGAAAGUACAUGCUUUCACUAUGGUAACUGUCCCUUUUCUAGUAAGUAUAAGGACAGUGUAUAACAUCAUGCAAAAGAAAACUGGAUUUUCAUGCUGGCCAGAGAAACAAUGUGAGUG